rnacentral:rRNA from 1 species
UCCACGCCCUAAACGAUGAACACUAGUCGUCGGGAUGCUAGUCAUCUCGGUGAUGCACUUAACAGAUUAAGUGUUCCGCCUGGGGAGUACGGUCGCAAGAUUAAAACUCAAAGGAAUAGACGGGGACCCGCACAAGAGGUGGAGCAAAUCUAUAAACCUAAUCUCAGUUCGGAUUGUAGUCUGCAACUCGACUACAUGAAGCUGGAAUCACUAGUAAUCGUAGAUCAGCCA